UACGUAGGGUGCAAGCGUUAAUCGGAAUUACUGGGCGUAAAGCGUGCGCAGGCGGUUUGUUAAGUCUGUUGUGAAAUCCCCGAGCUCAACUUGGGAAUUGCAAUGGAUACUGGCAGGCUGGAGUAUGGUAGAGGAAGGUGGAAUUCCCGGUGUAGCAGUGAAAUGCGUAGAGAUCGGGAGGAACACCAGUGGCGAAGGCGGCUGGCUGGACCUGACCUGACGCUGAGGCGCGAAGGCGUGGGGAGCGAACGGG
rnacentral:rRNA from 1 species